GCUGAAUAAGGAUACCAGGUCACUGGGGGAGGAGGAGCCACUGGGGUCAUCGCUGGACCCUGGGAGGAAGUCCCCUGUGACAGGCGCCAGGUAAGAUAGGACAGAGGGAGGCUAACUGAACAUUGCCAAACCAACCUUAGGCCCUAUUCAAGUACUUCAAGAUGCAUCAUUCUUUCCUCCCUUCCUUCAAGUAAUCAAGAAUCAAGAAGGAAUCCAACACCUUUUGGGUGGAUGAAGCAAGGUUCCAUUAGGCUACACAGCUUUUACAUAUCCACUCAGCUCUUACUGUUCAAAUAGUUCCACGUUAGGUUAAAAACAAAGCAUAAAAAAAUGUGUAAAUAUUGAAUUCUAAUGAUCACUGCUGGGUGUGUUGUGCAUGGUUUGCUCUUUCCCAUGACAAAGUAUGCCACUGCCGCCCUAUCCCCUGCACAGCCGACUGCAGUGAUGUGACACGGACAUGGAAGAGAGUAAACCUUAAGUUUAUAGCCUCUAGGAACUGACUGUACGCCCA
rnacentral:lncRNA from 1 species